AUGCCUUGGAAAACUGAGGAAAUUAAGAACUUUCUGCUCAUAGCCAGAUAAAAGGAUGCCAAGUCUGUCAAGAUCAAGAAAAAUAAGGAUAAUGUGAAGCUUAAAGUUCGAUGCAGCAGAUACCUUUAUACCUUGGUCAUCACAGACAAAGAGAAGGCGGAGAAACUGAAGCAGUCUCUGCCCCCUGGUUUGGCAGUGAAGGAGCUGAAAUGAAGUAGACAUGCUGAUUUGAAUUGGAUUAGAUU